GAUGCUAGUGAAGGAACCGAAUGCAGGAGCUGUUCCCAAGGAGUCUCAUCCAGACUCAGACCUAAUUGACAUGAAGAGAUCCUGGACUGUGUGUUAAUGCCAUAAUGGUUUUUCUUCUGAGCUUUGGACCUGCAUAUGCAACAAUCUAUUGGAAAUCUUUGGGAUAUCACCACAGGUCUGUCUUCCGCUACCCGAUCGCAUGCUUCAUUUGGGAAAGAACUAUAUCUCAUUUGUAUUUAUAUCUCCUGCCUCAGCCUCCCAAGUAGCUGGGACUACUGGCGCGCGCCACCACACUGGG